GAUGAACGCUGGCGGCGUGCCUAAUACAUGCAAGUCGAGCGGACGGACGGGGCUUUUGCUUGUAUGCUGUUAGGGGCGGGUGGGUGAGUCACACGAGGAUGCCUUACAUUUCUGGAUGAGAUCAGUAAGGGAGAGCGGAUAUCACAUAGGAUGAGAUUUUGAACCGGGUGGUUCUUAGGAGAUAGACGGCUUUGAUGUGUCUAAUAGAUGGUUCCAAGCUGCAUUGGCUAGUUGGUAGGGUAACGGCCUACCAAGGCGACGCUGCGUGGCCGACCUGAGAGGAUGAUCGGCCACACUGGAACUGAGACACGGUCCAGACUCCUACGGGAGGCAGCAGUAGGGAAUAUUCGGCAAUGGGCGAAAGCCUGACCCAGCCAUGCCGCGUGUGUGAUGAAGGUCUUCGGAUCGUAAAGCACUGUUAGUUGGGAGGAACAGCUGUAUGAUUAACCGUUGCCAUCUUGACGGUACCAAAUGAAAAAGCACCGGCUAACUACGUG
rnacentral:rRNA from 1 species